AGACUAAUGGAGAUGCUAAUGGAGUAUCCACUUCACCAACUGGUGGUACAUCAACUGGUAGAGAAGUGGUUGCUAUUGGAGACUACACAGCUCAAUAUUCUGAUGAACUGACCUUCUCUGAGGGAGAAAUAAUUCAAAUAUUAAAAGAAGUUGAUGAUAACUGGUAUCAUGGUGUGUGUCAGGAUAAAGUUGGUAUAUUUCCAAAGACUUACGUCAGAGAACCUUAACAACAACCAGCUGCUAACAACCAGCUCUACCUGCUCCUCUUCCUCUCUCUUCAUGAUCCUCUCUUGUAGUCAUUAGCUGUUUAUGAGUUAAUCAAUUGUUUUAUUUGACAUCAUUUUAUUUUAUUCACUGACAAUUAUGGUAUUAUUUUAUUUUCUUGCUGUUAUUAUUGUGAUCUAUUACAAUUAUCUAUUCUAUUAUUCAUUGUUGCAUGUGAAGUGUAUUGAAUCUAUUGAUAAUGAAUUCCUGAUGUGUGUUGUGCACUUCUAGUAAAAACUAA
rnacentral:lncRNA from 1 species